UACAGGGGGGGCAAGCGUUGUUCGGAAUUACUGGGCGUAAAGGGCCAGUAGGCGGCCAACUAAGUCACACGUGAAAUCCCCAGGCUUAACCUGGGAACUGCGUGUGAUACUGGAUGGCUUGAAUUCGGGAGAGGGAUGCAGAAUUCCAGGUGUAGCGGUGAAAUGCGUAGAUAUCUGGAGGAACACCGGUGGCGAAGGCGGCAUCCUGGACCAACACUGACGCUGAGGAGCGAAAGCCAGGGGAGCAAACGGG
rnacentral:rRNA from 1 species